UAUAUUUGAAAAUAAUAAUAUUAUUAACUAAGUAAAUCUUAAUUUACGAGUCAUUGUUUUAAGGAAAAUUAAAGUGGGUGACUCACUUUUUCCAUUUUACAUGUAAUAUGAAACUUUUUGGUGUAUGAAGUGUGUAUCGGGUGUAUAAAAGGUAUCAAGUGUAUAUUAACAGUAUAUUGAGUGUCAUCGUGUGUAUCCAAAUGUAUUCGUACUUUUUUUGACAUUUUAUGGUCGAACUAGCUAGUGUUUUAUCAUUUUUGCAAAAGUAAUAAGUCUAGGCCAUGCAAUUCUGGUUUUAAAUAAUAAAAUUGUUGGAAAUCAUAUAUAGCAAGAUUUUGAUGUCUAUCGUUGUCUAUAUUUAUAAUAUUUUAGUUGUUUCGACAGGAGUUGUGAAUCCGGCUGCGAAUGUCAUCGUUGCCACCAACACUGCCACGACUAGAGCCGUGUUGCCUGUGGAGUUUGCUAGCAAGAGCAGCGGGUACACCUGCAAGAUCCUUAUUGCAAAAUGCGUUUGAUGGAAUUCUGUGGCCACGUGAAGUGCAGUAUCCUUGUAUGGUGUUAGCUCUUUCUCAAAAACUGAACUAUUUCCAAGUUGUCAAAGUAUCUCAAGUCUCCAUAAGCAGCAGCCCAGUACAGAUUUGGAUCCAUGGAGAUUUAGGAGCUUCGUUUCAAGAGACUAUAAGAAUAAUGAUAAUAUUGGAAUAAUAGCAACACAUACAAAUGAUUUGAGAAUUCACUAAGUUGUUAGGCACUUAAAUAGGAGAAAAUUACAUAGGGGGACUAUAUUUUUCUAUGUAUAUAUUUCCUAGACGUCUCUUUAGAUACCUAAUAACGUGUUUGGCUUAUAGUAUACUGAUCUUUUGUAAAAAAAAAUUAGAAAAAUAAAUAACACUAAACUUUUUUCAAAA